UGCGUAGGCGGCGCGGUAAGUCUUCUGUGAAACCUCCGGGCUUAACUCGGAGCCUGCAGGGGAAACUGCCGUGCUGGAGUAUGGGAGAGGUGAGUGGAAUUCCCGGUGUAGCGGUGAAAUGCGUAGAUAUCGGGAGGAGCACCUGUGGCGAAAGCGGCUCACUGGACCAUUACUGACGCUGAUGCACGAAAGCUAGGGGAGCAAACAGGAUUAGAUACCCUGGUAGUCCUAGCCCUAAACGAUGAUCGCUUGGUGUGACAGGUACCCAAUCCUGUCGUGCCGGAGCUAACGCGUUAAGCGAUCCGCCUGGGGAGUACGGUCGCAAGGCUGAA
rnacentral:rRNA from 1 species